UACGUAGGGGGGCGAGCGUUGUCCGGAAUUACUGGGCGUAAAGAGCUCGUAGGUGGUUUGUCGCGUUGUUCGUGAAAACCGGGGGCUUAACCCUCGGCGUGCGGGCGAUACGGGCAGACUUGAGUACUGCAGGGGAGACUGGAAUUCCUGGUGUAGCGGUGGAAUGCGCAGAUAUCAGGAGGAACACCGGUGGCGAAGGCGGGUCUCUGGGCAGUAACUGACGCUGAGGAGCGAAAGCGUGGGGAGCGAACAGG
rnacentral:rRNA from 1 species